AUUGGGAUGUGAUGAAUUUAUUACUGAUUUUCUUAGGAAAAUGUGAAGUUUGAUUAAUAGAGGACGUAAUUCUGAUCCCAAU